UAUAUAUAUAUAUAUAUAUAUAUAUAUGCCAAGCCACCAGUAUAUUCUGAUCCAACACCACCAAGAAAGAAAUGCUUAUUUGGCAAAAAUCUUACAAGCAUUUAUGUCGACAGAAAGCUGCCUGCUCCAAUAUGUGACAUGUUAUCCAUAAUUGCAGGGAAAGGACGACAAUCAGAUCACAUAUUCGAAAUUCUACCUGAAAAUUCACACUGGUGCCUCAGAGAGAGGAUUGACAGUGAACAACUCAUUGAAUGGAUUUAAGAAUGCGUGCUUGUAAUAGCAUCUGUCUUGAAGGACUUCAUUGCAAACAUUGAAGGAAGUUUACUUACUUCUGACUUAUAAGAGAAUUGGCUUAGCGUCCCAGAUGAAGG